rnacentral:rRNA from 1 species
AUGAAGGCAGGGAGCGGCGUUCGCAUGGCUACUGGCAACGGGGAGAACAGCUACGCCGCAAACUCCCGGCUCCAAGAGAAGGCCAUUUUGGAGACAAGGCCGGUGCUUCGCGAGGCCAUAGAAGAGGUGUACAAGUCGCUCUCCGACCGACGGAGCAUGAUCGUCGUUGCCGACCUCGGCUGCUCGUCGGGCCCGAACACUCUGCGUGUCGUCUCCGAGGUGAUCGGCGCGGUCCAGUUCUACACUCGGAAGUCGGAAGAAGAACGGCGCGCCGUGGAGGUGCAGUUCUUCCUGAAUGACCUGCCAGGGAACGAUUUCAACCUCGUCUUCCGGUCACUGGAGGAACUUGAAGAUCUCGGCGGCAAAGAGACGCAGCCCUACUACGUGGCGGGCCUGCCGGGAUCCUACUACAGGAAGCUUUUCCCUUUCCGGAGCGUCCACCUCUUCCACUCGUCCUACUCCCUCAUGUGGCGCUCUAAGGUAUGCAUGCAUCAUAUUGUCUGCAAUGUGAUAAUUAUGUCCUAG